UACGGAGGGGACUAGCGUUGUUCGGAAUUACUGGGCGUAAAGCGCACGUAGGCGGAUUUGUAAGUCAGGGGUGAAAUCCCGAGGCUUAACCUCGGAACUGCCUUUGAUACUGGUGAUCUGGAGAUCGGGAGAGGUUGGUGGAAUUCCGAGUGUAGAGGUGAAAUUCGUAGAUAUUCGGAGGAACACCAGAAGCGAAGGCGGCCAACUGGCCCGAUACUGACGCUGAGGCGCGAAAGCGUGGGGAGCAAACAGG
rnacentral:rRNA from 1 species